rnacentral:lncRNA from 1 species
CGGAAGAUAUAAACAUAAAUUGUUUAUACAUUAAACUUUACACACUAUUCCCAAAAUCGAGUAACCUUAACUUAUACACAAUCAUGACUGUCUAACACAUGACAAUACUAUUCUUCAACAUACUUUACAACUUAACUUCACAUUCUAUCCCAAGCUGAACUUGGCAUCAUCCUUUUUCUUUAUCAUCUCAACAGGUAACGAGGUGUCGAUGGCCCGAAGUCCACACAUACACAAUAAUCAUCAGGAGUUGAGAAUAAAAAUUCAUUUUUUCAAAAGCACAUAGUGCGUAUUUAGCUUGAUGUCAAAAACUUCGAAGUCUAGCAUAGCUAGAAGAUUUGGAAUACCUAUGCUUCCAUCAUCAACUUCACUUUUUCUACUGAUCCAUUACUUAAUAGAUCUAUCUAUUCUUAUAAUCCUCAAUGCUCCAUUCAC